CACGUAGGGUGCGAGCGUUGUCCGGAAUUAUUGGCGUAAAGAGCUCGUAGGCGGUGUGUCGUGUCGGCCGUGAAACCUGACAGCUUAACUGUGGGCUUGCGGUCGAUACGGGCAUCACUGGAGUUCGGCAGGGGAGACUGGAAUUCCUGGUGUAGCGGUGAAAUGCGUAGAUAUCGGAGGAAUACCGGUGGCGAAGGCGGCGAAUC
rnacentral:rRNA from 1 species